AACAGGCUGCCCGUUUAUGAGAAAUGGAGAGACAACAAAUACAGAAGAGCUAGUACAAGGCUGGCGACUUUCCUGUUCAUAGUGGAAUGGUGAACGACUGCUGUACGGUGACACGAGGCCAGAGUUUUCGCGGGUUAUGUCUGACCAGAGACAAUCCAGCCCGUCAGAACCUCCGCUUGGUGUGGAGCCAGACACUAAAACUGGCAUAUUGCAAAGGAAACAAUUACAAGCCACAAGAUCAGCUGGCCGUUCCGCGAUUUAUUCACCAUUGCGACGUUAAAAGAGGAGAUGAUAUUGUCACCUGAUUCGUGGGACAAGACAAAAAGAGAAAUCGCGCAGAAUUUAUUACAAACUGUCACCUUAUCAAAAUCCGUACUACUGCUUCAUCGUUCCCGCCUGUGUACAACCAUAUCUACUGUGUAGACGUGCUGGUGACGUUGCAUUAAUUAUACCCUUGCAAAAACUAACAGUUAAACCUUCCGCUGUCCUGACAUUGAAUGUAAUGAUGUUAUACCUUUGGCACUCUUUGAAUUAUGAAUCGUCAUGUUGUGAGCAAAUUGCUAUGGAAAGAUGCGUGCGACGUUUUCUUGCGACCACGGCCGUUUUUUUUUUCUUGUGAUGUCAGGCCGGUUUUAGAUUGUAGAGGGAAUGGAUUGAACCGGACUUUGUAAAUGUUUGGUAUCACCAAGCUUUUUUAUCUCUACAUGAAGUCUGUAUUAGAUCAGGAUUGGCAUAAAAUACAAUGCGUUUUAAUUUUCA